rnacentral:rRNA from 1 species
UACGUAGGGUGCAGGCGUUAAUCGGUAUUACUGGGCGUAAAGCGUGCGCAGGCGGUUUGCUAAGACAGGUGUGAAAUCCCCGGGCUUAACCUGGGAACUGCGCUUGUAACUGGCAAGCUGGAGUGUGGCAGAGGGAGGUGGAAUUCCACGUGUAGCAGUGAAAUGCGUAGAGAUGUGGAGGAACACCGAUGGCGAAGGCAGCCUCCUGGGCCAGCACUGACGCUCAUGCACGAAAGCGUGGGGAGCAAACAGG